UGUCGAUACCUGUCCAAAACAGAACGACCCGCGAACCAAAGAUCACCACUCUCGGUGGGCCGGUUUCUUAGCCGAUUCCUUGCCCGCCGGAUCCGUGGUUUCGCGUAUCGGCAUGAUCGGGAGCUUUAUCUCGGUCUUGUCGUGCGCGUUGCUUCCGGAUAUCACAAAACCCCGGCACGAAAAGUGUCAAGGAACAUGCAAACGAACGGCUGGCAUUCGCCUCCCCGGAGACGGAGUGUGGGCGGAUGCUGUGCUGCGAACUGAAGUCUAAAACGACUCUCGGCAACGGAUAUCUCGGCUCUCGCAUCGAUGAAGAACGUAGCGAAAUGCGAUACUUGGUGUGAAUUGCAGAAUCCCGUGAACCAUCGAGUCUUUGAACGCAAGUUGCGCCCCAAGCCUUCUGGCCGAGGGCACGUCUGCCUGGGUGUCACAAAUCGUCGUCUCUCACCAUCCUUUGCUGAUGCGGGACGGAAGCUGGUCUCCCGUGUGUUACCGCACGCGGUUGGCCUAAAUCCGAGCCAAGGACGCCUGGAGCGUACCGACAUGCGGUGGUGAACUUGAUCCAUUACAUUUUAUCGGUCGCUCUUGUCCGGAAGCUGUAGAUGACCCAAAGUCCAUAUAGCGACCCCAGGUCAGGCGGGAUUACCC
rnacentral:misc_RNA from 1 species